rnacentral:miRNA from 1 species
UAGCACCACAUGAUUCAGCUUACG